rnacentral:rRNA from 1 species
UGUCGAGAAUUUUUCUCAAUGGGGGAAACCCUGAAGGAGCGACGCCGCGUGGGGGAUGAAUGGCUUCGGCCCGUAAACCCCUGUCAUUUGCGAACAAUCCCGUUUGUUUAAUAAACAAACGGUUGCUAGUAGCGAAAGAGGAAGGGACGGCUAACUCUGUGCCAGCAGCCGCGGUAAUACAGAGGUCCCAAGCGUUGUUCGUAUUCACUGGGCGUAAAGGGUGCGUAGGUGGCCAGGUAAGUUUGAUGUGAAAUCUCCGAGCUUAACUCGGAAAGUGCAUUGAAUACUAUCUGGCUCGAGGGUUGGAGGGGAGACUGGAAUUCUCGGUGUAGCAGUGAAAUGCGUAGAUAUCGAGAGGAACACCAGUGGCGAAGGCGAGUCUCUGGACAACACCUGACACUGAGGCACGAAAGCUAGGGGAGCAAACAGGAUUAGAUUCCCUGGUAGUCCUAGCUGUAAACGGUGCACAUUUGCUGUAAGAGGAAUCGACCCCUUUUGUGGCGAAGCUAACGCGUUAAAUGUGCCGCCUGGGGAGUACGGUCGCAAGAUUAAAACUCAAAGAAAUUGACGGGGGCCUGCACAAGCGGUGGAGUAUGUGGCUUAAUUCGAUCCAACGCGAAGAACCUUACCUGGCCUUGACAUGUACGUAGUAGAAGGAUGAAAGUCUGACGAGUGUAGCAAUACACAGCGUACACAGGUGCUGCAUGGCUGUCGUCAGCUCGUGUCGUGAGAUGUUGGGUUAAGUCCCGCAACGAGCGCAACCCCUGUGUCCAGUUGCCACCCAGACGAGAGUUUGGAGCACUCUGGACAGACUGCCUCGCUUAAACGAGGAGGAAGGUGGGGAUGACGUCAAGUCAGUAUGGCCCUUACGGCCAGGGCUGCACACGUACUACAAUGCCCGGCACAGAGGGAAGCAAGACCGCAAGGUGGAGCAAAUCCCAGAAAACCGGGCCCAGUUCAGAUUGUCGGCUGCAACUCGCCGACAUGAAGCUGGAAUCGCUAGUAAUGGCGCAUCAGCUACGGCGCCGUGAAUACGUUCCCAGGCCUUGUACACACCGCCCGUCACAUCAUGAAAGCCGUUUGUACCCGAAGUCGCCGUGUUAACCGCAAGGAGACAGGCGCCGAAGGUAUGGAUGGUGAUUGGGAUGAAGUCGGAACAAGGUAGCCGUAGGGGACCUGCGGCUG